GGCUUUUUUGCACUUCUUCCUUUACUUAUAAUAGUAUCCAUCGCAGACUGACUAGGAGAUUUGAGUAUUUAUCAUCCAGAGGUCUGCCUCAUCAGGGUUAUCACUCAAAGCAUAACCAAAUGCUGAAAGCUGACCAGCCAUAUAUUCGGAAUCACUCUGAUUAUGAGAACAUCCGAAUGUCUUGAUGUAAAUAGUCUGAGUGCCAGGUAUUUUAGGUGUAGGAGAGUCUUGGACUACUGUUAGCUUCGUUACACCGUUCUUUUUCCUUUGCUUUGGAUUGACUCCAACGGCCGCCGGCACCGGUAACCUAAACCCUGGAGGCACUCCGGCAAUGCUACCCACCAGCAAAUCUUCAAUGUCCUCCAUUAGUUCA
rnacentral:misc_RNA from 1 species